AUUGAACGCUGGCGGCAUGCUUUACACAUGCAAGUCGAACGGUAACAGGCCUUCGGGCGCUGACGAGUGGCGAACGGGUGAGUAACGCGAUCGGAACGUGCCCAGUCGUGGGGGAUAACGCAGCGAAAGCUGUGCUAAUACCGCAUACGAUCUGCGGAUGAAAGCGGGGGGACCUUAGGGCCUCGCGCGAUUGGAGCGGCCGAUGUCAGAUUAGGUAGUUGGUGGGUAAAGGCCGACCAAGCCAACGAUCUGUAGCUGGUCUGAGAGGACGACCAGCCACACUGGGACUGAGACACGGCCCAGACUCCUACGGGAGGCAGCAGUGGGGAAUUUUGGACAAUGGGCGCAAGCCUGAUCCAGCAAUGCCGCGUGCAGGAAGAAGGCC
rnacentral:rRNA from 1 species